rnacentral:rRNA from 1 species
UACGGAGGGUGCAGGCGUUAUCCGGAUUCACUGGGUUUAAAGGGUGCGUAGGUGGGCAGUUAAGUCAGUGGUGAAAUCUCCGGGCUCAACCCGGAAACUGCCAUUGAUACUAUCUGUCUUGAAUAUCGUGGAGGUAAGCGGAAUAUGUCAUGUAGCGGUGAAAUGCUUAGAUAUGACAUAGAACACCAAGUGCGAAGGCAGCUUACUGCCCGAAUAUUGACACUGAGGCACGAAAGCGUGGGGAUCAAACAGG